rnacentral:lncRNA from 1 species
CAAGGGUAGAGAGGAUUCCUAUGGAUAGUACUAUAGAUGAGUUAAAGUUCGAUCUCUCAGGUCAAAUACUCGCUUCAGGCGCCGGCUUACCCUGAAUGAGUCAAGCACCUCCGGCCUACAGCUCUACAAUAUAUCCAAACAUGGAGGAUUACAAAGGACUAAUAGGGAUGUCACCACCUACAGUCUACCUCUACGGUCCAUGGCAUAUACGGUAAACGAAGGAUAACCCUUAACCUAGACACCACGUCAACACUAUUGAUUACUACUGCAACCUAACUACGUCCGGAUCCCCAUAGCAGACUACAUCACUCUAUAUAAGUACAGAGCGAUGAACUCAUGAGUAAGAGAACUAAUCUCACUCAAAUACAGAUACUAUU